ACUACGGGUGGCAGCAGUGAGGAAUAUUGGUCAAUAGACGCAAGUCUGAACCAGCCAUGCCGCGUGCAGGAAGACGGCUCUAUGAGUUGUAAACUGCUUUUGUACGAGAGUAAACGCAGAUACGCGUAUCUGUCUGAAAGUAUCGUACGAAGAAGGCUCGGCUAACUCCGUGCCAGCAGCCGCGGUAAUACGGAGGAUUCAAGCGUUAUCCGGAUUUAGUGGGUGUAAAGGGUGCGUAGGCGGUCGGAUAAGUUAGAGGUGAAAUCCCGAGGCUCAACUUCGGAAUUGCCUCUGAGACUGUUCGGCUAGAGAGUAGGUGCGGCAGGCGGAAUGUAUGGUGUAGCGGUGAAAUGCUUAGAGAUCAUACAGAACACCGAUUGCGAAGGCAGCUUACCAAGCUACUUCUGACGUUGAGGCACGAAAGCGUGGGGAGCAAACAGGAUUAGAUACCCGGGUAGUC
rnacentral:rRNA from 1 species